CUGCUCCUGGAUUCAGCGGCGGACGGGUGAGUAAUGCCUAGGAAUCUGCCUGGUAGUGGGGGAUAACGUCCGGAAACGGGCGCUAAUACCGCAUACGUCCUGAGGGAGAAAGUGGGGGAUCUUCGGACCUCACGCUAUCAGAUGAGCCUAGGUCGGAUUAGCUAGUUGGUGGGGUAAAGGCCUACCAAGGCGACGAUCCGUAACUGGUCUGAGAGGAUGAUCAGUCACACUGGAACUGAGACACGGUCCAGACUCCUACGGGAGGCAGCAGUGGGGAAUAUUGGACAAUGGGCGAAAGCCUGAUCCAGCCAUGCCGCGUGUGUGAAGAAGGUCUUCGGAUUGUAAAGCACUUUAAGUUGGGAGGAAGGGCAGUAAGUUAAUACCUUGCUGUUUUGACGUUACCAACAGAAUAAGCACCGGCUAACUUCGUGCCAGCAGCCGCGGUAAUACGAAGGGUGCAAGCGUUAAUCGGAAUUACUGGGCGUAAAGCGCGCGUAGGUGGUUCAGCAAGU
rnacentral:rRNA from 1 species